rnacentral:lncRNA from 1 species
AUGCCCACAUCUUGAAUACUGCAUGCAGAUGUGGUUGCCCCAUCUCAAAAAUAUAUUGGACGUAGAGACUGUCCGGUUUGGCCAAUGUACAUGGCAGAGGGGCAUUGCUGGCACAUGAUGGCAUAUAUCACAUUGGUAGAUGUGCAGGUGAACGAGCCCCUGAUGGUAUGGGUGAUGUGAUUAGGUCCUAUGAUGAUGUCACUUGAAUAGAUAGGGCUUUGUAACAAAGCCCGAUGCCAACUCUGUCCACAUAUCUAUUCAAGUGACAUCAUCAUCUAAGCAGUGGGAAAAUAUAACCCUAAUUUUACUCCUAGGUAAAGCACAAAGUGACCAAAAUGAAGUCAGCACAGAAUCAUCUCAUCUAGAUUUAGGCCAUGCUGUCUUUGCAGGCAACAGUCAGCACUUUCUCUGAAUACCCAGUCCACAUCCAGGAAAAACUGGCUCAGAUGGGUUGGUAUGAAUGUUUCGGGCCUGGAAGAGUGGUCAUCAGGCAAGGCCAUAUCCCGCAGAAUUUCUAUUUGAUUCUCUCAGGCACAGCUGUGGUCACCAAGGUGGCUGUCAACAAACAGACAGGAGAGCUUUAUGCCAACACGGUUGCCUUUCUGAAGAAAGGGAAAUAUUUUGGGGAUGUUGCCAUCUUGACGGGCGCUAGGAGAAACGCCACAGUUAUCUGUCAUGAUACUGUUUCCCUGUUGGCUGUUUCUAGACAGGAGUUUUUAAACAUAUUUCUGAACAGGGAAUCUGGCGAGGGACCAGAUUUCAUGAAUUUCCUGUGCAAAAUUGAACUGCUUUCAGGAUGGCCUGUUGAAAAGCUGCCUUACAAUAACCCCAGAAUUUGUGCUUUCACCUUCUUCAGGCCAGGAACAGUCAUUACAAAGGAUUCAAAGGCAUCAUCCAAAAUUUAUGUGAUCAAAACAGGGAGGCUGCGGGUCCUGAAGGCAAUGACAUCUUCUAAACCUCGGCUAUCAUUAAAGUCUUUUAGACACUCCCAACUCUACUGUGAGCCCAUCAGUGAUGAAGGGUAUUUGUACGAG